rnacentral:misc_RNA from 1 species
AAAAAAAAAAGAUUGAGAAGAUUUUGAAAGAUGAUAGCCAACUCCAGCCUCAUCUCCUCCAACUUCUCUUCUCUUCCUCUCAAAAAUCCAAGACCGAGAGCUCAUCUCCAGGCUCAAACUCCUAAUCCCAGACUCUUAUCUUUACGUCCCAGCAGAGGAACGGCUUUGAAAAUUUCCAAUUUUCUUAAGCCCCACACCUGUAAGACCUCAAGUUUCCCAUUUCAGAAGAAGGGUCUGCUUCAAGUGUGCCAUAGUGUCUUGGACUCUAAGGAUUCAGAGAAAGAACCAAUUUUGGAGAGUGAAACUAAUGAUGAGAAAGAGGGGCGAGAUUGGACAACCUCCAUCUUACUUUUUGUGUUGUGGGGUGCUCUUAUGUACUACGUUUUUAAUCUCGCUCCUAACCAGACCCCGUCGACAGACGAGUAUUUUUUGAGAAAACUCCUAAAUUUGAAGGGAGAUGAUGGUUUUGAGAUGAAUCAAGUACUUGUGUCUUUAUGGUACAUCAUGGGUUUGUGGCCUUUGGUGUUCAGCAUGCUUCUACUCCCAACCGGCAGAAGGUAAAUUGACGUUCCUUAUCCUUAUUUGUUGUGUAAUUUUAUGAUUUUAUGAUCUCCAGCAAGUACUUCUCUUCUAUUUUGUAUUAAUUACUAAGUUCAGGUUUUUUUUUACAUGGAUUAUCUUUGCCCUGCACUGUUGUUGCUGGGACUUGCAGAGGGACUAACCAUAUGAUUCACUUCUGUUGCAUUUUUAUUUAUAAAGGCCUUAUGGAGGGUGGAUUGUUAUUUUUCAAAUUAUGCAGUUGGUGAUUAUAAUAGAUUAUGCAUGUGAUGAUGGCAGUAAAGCUACGCAUUGUGGCAUGAAAUUUUAGACUUUGUGCCAUGCAUACCACAAUGGACAACGGUUACAUCAAGAGGGAUUUGCAACCCGCUGUUUGAAUUUUUUAUAUUAUUCCAAUUAGAGUGCUUAAUUAAUAUAUCUAAUUCAUGUAUUUGCAGCUCAAAAAGCAAAAUACCAGUUUGGCCAUUCCUGGUACUUUCAUGCUUUGGUGGUGCAUAUGGUCUUCUUCCCUAUUUUGUUCUUUGGAGACCACCACCACCGCCUGUCGAAGAAAGUGAGCUUGGCAAAUGGCCUCUUAAUUUUCUGGAAUCAAAGUUGACAGCUGGGGUAAAUUUUGUUUCUCUCUCUUUGGUUCAUAUACCUUUCUUUUGAUUAAAACUUGCGACAGAGUAAUAGACUGCCGCCUGGGGCUUCUGAAUACUCUGCAGCAUUUGUAUGAUAGUGAACGUGUUGCUUACAUGCGUGAGAUUGAUUAUUUACUUUCUAUGUACAUGGCACAUGAUGUUUCUAACGAAUAUUUUAUUGAACUCAGAAAUACAUGUAUUGCACUAAAGCUGAGGAUGGUUCCACUCUUUAGUUGUUUAACAUGGUCAAACCCUUUAUGGUUCUAAACUGUAAACACCUUAGAUUGUUCUCUUAAGUAUGGGACAUGACUGGAGGAUAAACUGAUGAAUGUGGACUACAGUUUUUAAAAUUGAGGCAAUGAGUGAGAAAUGAAUUACGUUCAUUACAAAUGUUGUGUUUGGGGAAGGAAAAAAGAAGAGAGGGACAGAAAAUGUGCUGAGAGUUCAUAAAUGUUUUAUUUGAAAUAUGGGCCUUAUAGUUCUUUUUUUUUCCCCCUUUUUUCCUUCCCUUCCCAAACACGGCAUAAGGUUCCAAUCAGUUUCCUGUCAAACUGACUGGAGUGGAUUUAUGUUUAAAUUGGUCAAAUGGGUCCUUUCUCUAUCAGAUAUCAGCUGUAAAAUUAGUUAAGAUUUAGUUGGUAGGUUAAGCAAGAAGUUUCAAAAUCUCUUCAUUGAUAUUUCCAUAAAGAAAGAUGAAAAGGCUUCAUGUUCUUUUCUACUCCAUCAAGUCCCUUCUUAAAUAAUGUCAGUAAUUUAAGUUUUGAUCUGGAUUUUUUUUAUCUAUUUCGUAUGGAAAAGUAACUUCUUUAUGCAUAGAUAACACUUGCUGCAGGACUAGGCCUAUUCCUUUAUGCAGGCUUGGCAAAUGGUGACGCCUGGAAAGAGUUCUACCAGUACUUCAGAGAAAGCAAAUUUGUAAGUGCUUGCCAAAUGUCGUUGUUUUUAUUUGUGCAUGCGUAUAUGUCUUCAUCAAAAUUUAACAAAGUGCAGAGUAGAGAAUUGAACCCAGUUACAUUUAAUAUACAUAUUUUUUAUUUUAAUAUGAUAUGUCUUAUGGAAACUUGUUAUAUAUGCCUACCUGGUUCUUGAUUUGCACUGCAGAUUCACAUCAUGUCCCUUGAUUUCACUCUAUUAUCCGCAUUUGCCCCUUUCUGGGUUUACAAUGAUAUGACUGCCAGGAAAUGGUUUGAUAAAGGUUCUUGGCUUCUUCCUAUCUCACUUGUUCCACUCUUGGGUCCUGCAUUAUAUCUGGUUCUACGGCCAUCACUAUCAGAAAUGCCUGUUUCACUGGGUUCAACUUCAUCAGAACAGAAGUAGUAUAUGAACUCUCCUUUAUCUCCUCACCACAGAACGGGGCAAAUUUUAGCAACAUCAACAAGAUUGAAUGAUUCAAGUUUGAAGAAACAUUAUUCCUGUGCACUUACAGAAAUAUUUAAAUUUUCAAGUGGGAAGUCGCAUCACUUCGCAAAUGCAAUCAAUCGUGAGCAAAGAUACAUCUUCACGUAAAGGUUUUGUCUUCACACUUGUUUUGUCUUUCCCACUUCUUGUACUCAGUUAAAGAUGCCAGACAAGUAAUUUGGGGAAAAGAAACCACGUAUAGUCAUUUAUCUGUUCUAAAUUAUAAUUUUUAUCAGUGAACUUGAUGUUUGUUACUUUAGUUCCCCUACCUUUUACGAUUUCCCAACUCUUUAUGUGAAGUUAAAGAAAACAACAAAACAAAGAAAGAGAGAAAAGCUAGGCAAUUAUAAAAGAGAUUAUUGCAUAAUAGGAGUUGUACUCCCUUAACUGAGUAUAGCGGAGAGUAUACAGCUAAUUGAGCAAGGUGCUUUAUUAACAGAGUUCACUAUAAAACAUUAGCAUACGCGAUCUUAAUAAGGAGCAAAAUAUGUUUCUCUAAUCAUUUGGGUUUAAGGUUUUCAUGUUCAAAGGGUAAUCACACCACGCCACAAUCUAAGGUCACAGGCAGUGUAAUAAAAUCUCCAGCAAAGAGCGUUUGUACCAGUUCUCUGAGAAAAGUUUCGUUUCUGGAGAGCAAAGCCUGGAGUAGUAGAUACUUGAAGAAGUCAAAAACAUAGCACAAGACAAAAAAAAAAAACAAAAAAAAAAA